rfam:Picea glauca, whole genome shotgun sequence.
UCAUAUGUACAUGCCUACUACAUUAAUGCAUUGGAUCUCAUUAGAACUCUGCAAUUAAGCAUGCUUGGGAUAGAGUAGUACUGGGAUGGGUGACCUAUUAAGAAGUCCUAGUGUUUAAAUGCC